rnacentral:rRNA from 1 species
UACAGAGGUCUCGAGCGUUGUUCGGAUUCAUUGGGCGUAAAGGGUGCGUAGGUGGCGCUGUAAGUCGGGUGUGAAAUCCUGAGGCUUAACCUCGGAACUGCAUUCGAUACUGCGGCGCUUGAGGACUGGAGAGGAGACUGGAAUUCAUGGUGUAGCAGUGAAAUGCGUAGAGAUCGGGAAGAACAUCGGUGGCGAAAGCGCUCUGCUGGACUGCAACUGACACUCAGGGACGAAAGCUAGGGGAGCGAAUGGG